rnacentral:rRNA from 1 species
CCAGACUCCUACGGGAGGCAGCAGUGGGGAAUAUUGCACAAUGGGGGAAACCCUGAUGCAGCGACGCCGCGUGAGUGAAGAAGUAUCUCGGUAUGUAAAGCUCUAUCAGCAGGGAAGAAAAUGACGGUACCUGACUAAGAAGCCCCGGCUAACUACGUGCCAGCAGCCGCGGUAAUACGUAGGGGGCAAGCGUUAUCCGGAUUUACUGGGUGUAAAGGGAGCGUAGACGGCGCUGCAAGUCCGGAGUGAAAGCCCAUGGCUUAACCAUGGUACUGCUCUGGAAACUGUGGAGCUUGAGUGCGGGAGGGGCAGGCGGAAUUCCUAGUGUAGCGGUGAAAUGCGUAGAUAUUAGGAGGAACACCGGCGGCGAAGGCGGCCUGCUGGACCGUAACUGACGUUGAGGCUCGAAAGCGUGGGGAGCAAACAGGAUUAGAUACCCGAGUA